rnacentral:lncRNA from 1 species
UUAUUAUUUAUACUUCAAUUUAUUUUUUGGAGUAUUUCUAAUUUAACUGUAAUUUUCAGGAAAAAAUGGUACUUGCAUCAUCUCUUUUCAGUUGAAGUUAAUGUCAUACGCACUUGCACUUUUGUAUUUUAAUAAUGUCAUACAAUACUUUUGUCGUUUAGUGCCAAUAAUAAACCUCUAAGCCAAAAACAAUCAGACUUAUCUUGAUUUUUCUUUUUUCGUGAAUUUGUUGUCGACUUCUCCCAAUAGCAGUAUAGUAUCUUCUUUGUAAUUAAGUAUCAAUUUUAGAUUGUUGGAAAAUAUGUUCCAUGAAUAUUGCUACUAUAUAGAAAGAUGAGUAGAUGGACGAUUAGGGAUAUUUUCGUCUAAUAAAAAAUGGUGCAGCUUAAUGACAGUUCUACAUUGUGCAUUAAAACAUUCAAUUGAUCAAAAUACCAGACAACUUUCAUACAAGUAUUGAGGUACUCUCUACCAAUCACAUGUCACUAUCAGAGCAUAGUGAUUGCCACGUGUGAUUGUAUUCACAUCAUCAAAAUGAUUCGCUAUACAUUUUUGAAUGCGUGACCCUCCUUUUUUUGUUGGUGUACUUGCUAGGGAGGUUUUCCGAAAGUAGAAGCAAGAUCAUUCAAUUUUUUUUACUCUCGUAGAAUAAGCAUGAAUACAAUUUAAUUAUUCUAUUUAAGUUUUCAUCAAAUAUAUAAAAAUAUUAUUUCCUCAGUACCAAUUAACUGUUUUUAUUAUAUCAAGCAUAAAAUUUAACAAAUUAAAAUUGUGAUUUUAAAUUAAAGACUAUUUAAUAUAUUAAAAUAUUUUUCAAAAUAUAGAUUUAAUAUAUAAUCAACUUUUAAAAUUUGUUUAGAUAUUCCAUUUAGACAUUCGAGCUAAGUAUGUUUGUGCAUGAAUCGAUUCGGAUCGAUUUUAGCCAUCAUCAAAUUGAAAUUUCAAAUUUUGAUUUGUUGAAAUUCUUAUCUUAACUUAAUUAAUUUUAAGUCCAAUUCGAUCCAUUUUUUAUCAUUUCAAUUCGAUUUUACGAAUCGAUUUGUUCAAUUUUAAAAUUGCAACAGGCAACUAUUUUUAUUUUUAUUUUAGAGAACAUAAUAAAAAAUAAUAAAAUCUUAAAAUUAUGCUUUAAAUAACCUAAAGGAAACAUUGCAUUCUAAAUUUAAAGUGAAAUUAAAAUUCAACUACGAUAGUUCAAAAACUAAAAAUACUAUGUGUGAAUAGAGAGCGAGGUUGGGAGAUUAGGUUUGUACUUUGUACAUUGUAAAAGGUUUUUAAAUUAAAAUAUUAAAAAUGCGGGCCUAGGUUGCACUAGAUUUUAGGGUUUGUAAGUGAUUGGGAAAUAAUAAACUAUUAUUAUGUAUAUGUGUAUACAUUUUAAUUUUCUGAAUUGAUUCGAAUUGUA